rnacentral:rRNA from 1 species
UGGGGAAUUUUGCACAAUGGGGGAAACCCUGAUGCAGCGACGCCGCGUGAUUUAGAAGGCCUUCGGGUUGUAAAAAUCUUUUUUACGGGAUGAAAAUGACAGUACCGUAAGAAUAAGGUCCGGCUAAAUACGUGCCAGCAGCCGCGGUAAUACGUAUGAACCGAGCGUUGUCCGGAAUCAUUGGGCGUAAAGGGUACGUAGGCGGCCUAGUAAGUUAGAAGUGAAAUAAUAUAGCUCAACUAUAUAAAGCUUUUAAAACUGCUAGGCUUGAGAGAUGGAGGGGAAAGUGGAAUUCCUAGUGUAGCGGUGAAGUGCGCAGAUAUUAGGAAGAAUACCGGUGGCGAAGGCGACUUUCUGGUCAUCAUCUGACGCUGAGGUACGAAAGCAUGGGUAGCAAACAGG